UUUUUUUCCAUCGAAAUCUCCAGAAAAUUUCUUCUCCGUUCGUUCUUCCCUAAGAAACAGAAAAAAUUCUUGUUUUUCGUUAUGGAUUACCUAAAAUAUAGAGAUAGAUUAGAAAUCAGGAUUGAUUUAGUUGAACCUUUUUUCAAAGAUUUUCAGAAUAUUUUUCAAUGGAUGAACGGUUGAAUCGGUGGGUAGAUGAGCAGAUCAAAUGGUUGUCAGUAAAUCUUAAACUCGGUCAAGACAGGUGAAGAAUUUCCUUGUUAACAAUUAUCUUGGACGAAUUUAUGAGGAGAAGAAUAUUCACUUAUUUGGAAAGAAGAUAUGGAUAAACAGAAAAACCCUAAUUAUACUGCAAAAUCAGAGAAAUUGAAACUAAGUAACCAUUUCGAUUUUGGUUAAUGUUCAAUUUUUUUGGCGCCAUGUAAAUCAAAAGGAAAAAAAGCUGGGCGGGAUUUUUCACGCUUGAUCUUCCAUUUUCUUUCCUAUAAAUACAAUCCCAAAGUUAUCAAGUUUUGCUCACAAGAUAAUAAUUGAAGGCUGAUUCUAUACAUUGGAUAUCCUAACUUCAAGGAUUUUCAGAACUCUAACUUAAGGUGAAAAAUGGCUAACAACAAUGAACAACCAGCUCCAACAACAUCAUCUUCUGAGGAAACAGAAGUCUGGAUCCGAGCAAGCUGAGAUUGACACCUUUUAUGACACCCAAACGUAUAUCAAUAAAAAAAACAGGCGAAGUUGUUUGGAGUUCUGAUGAAGCUCGCAUCAAAUGGGUGAGUAUAAACAUUAUUAAUUUUUUAUGUUGUUUGUGUCUACAUCCAAUCAAUAUGUGUAAUCUUCUCGUAGCUAUACAACAAUUGAUUCUAACAGUGAAGGAGUUCAUGCGAUGACACAAUCGCAACCUGAUAGAAUUCAAGCUCAGGAUGACCAUAUAUGCCCAGAAUGAGGUUAUCAAAAUGUGGAAAGAAGAUAGCGAAAAGUUCACAAGAAACAUACAGAAUUUGAUGCGUACUCUUUUCUAAACGAAAUUACAGCUAAUGGAACAACCGAAAGUUGAAUGCCGUGCCAUAAAAUCAAUUGUUACAUUAUUGUUUUGGUAUUAGUAUUAUCUUCUUUUUAACUAGUAGCGGUGAUGAUUUAUUUAUUGGUAGUUUAUUUAUCAGAUUUUCUUUUCGGUUUGGAUCUUGUUUGAACAAUUUAUUUUAAAGGUUAAUUAUUUUUUUGUUC